rnacentral:rRNA from 1 species
AUGAGGUCGUCGGCGCCUCCUCCGCUCCGGGAUCGAACGGGCUGGUGGACAGCUGCGCGGCUCUACGCCCUCCUCGACCGAGGGCCGCCGCCGUCAACAUUGUGCAGGUGCGGUUGUAGUGGCCGGGCAAGACGAAGAGAAGCUGCAGCGGCCAGCUGCAGGGUGGCCUCGCCGGAAGAGAGCGCCGAUGGCCAUGGACGACACGGAGCCCUCUUCUUCGCCAGCACUAGCGGCGUCAGGGGCGGUGAAGGCCAGCAGCUGCGGACGCCGUACGACCAUGGCCCGGCACAGGCAGCCAUCUCCGGCCAUGUCACGCCCAGCCCUGCAACAUCACGUCGGCGGGGCAUCGAGUUCAAUGGCGAUGAUUGUCUCAAGGUUGAAGCUGGAGUCCAACUCUGA